AGAGAACGCUGGCGGCAGGCCUAACACAUGCAAGUCGAACGGCAGCACAGUGGAGCUUGCUCCAUGGGUGGCGAGUGGCGGACGGGUGAGGAAUACAUCGGAAUCUGCCCAGUCGUGGGGGAUAACAUAGGGAAACUUAUGCUAAUACCGCAUACGACCUACGGGUGAAAGCGGGGGAUCGCAAGACCUCGCGCGAUUGGAUGAGCCGAUGUCCGAUUAGCUAGUUGGCGGGGUAAUGGCCCACCAAGGCGACGAUCGGUAGCUGGUCUGAGAGGAUGAUCAGCCACACUGGAACGGAGACACGGUCCAGACUCCUACGGGAGGCAGCAGUGGGGAAUAUUGGACAAUGGGCGCAAGCCUGAUUCAGCCAUGCCGCGUGGGUGAAGAAGGCCUUCGGGUUGUAAAGCCCUUUUGUCCGGAAAGAAACGCCUCGGAUUAAUACUCAGGGGUAAUGACGGUACCGGAAGAAUAAGCACCGGCUAACUUCGUGCCAGCCGCCGCAGUAA
rnacentral:rRNA from 1 species